GGACUCCAAAAUACCACUCCGGACCUGCAAGCUCGACGCCGCACCGGGAAAGACAGCGAUCGAGAGGGAAAGCAUCGUAGGGUCGGCUGUUCCAUCGAGAUGAGAGCAAAGUGGAAGAAGAAGCGCAUGAGGAGACUCAAGAGGAAGAGACGAAAGAUGAGGCAGAGAUCCAAGUAGGGGGUGGUCGGUUGGUCAUGGCUUCCUCGGUGGUUGGGAAGGUGCACUGUUGGAACUCUGCGUCCAGCAACUUUAUAUUUUGCUUGUUAGGGUAAUGAUUUGUGGUUUGUUUUCACUAGUGAAAAAUGCUUAACAUUUGGAGACACGCUUUAUUUAAUCUCUAUUUUGUCUUAUCAAUCGUAUAUGUGAUUUAAUUCGUGAUCA